UACGUAGGGUGCGAGCGUUGUCCGGAAUUAUUGGGCGUAAAGGGCUCGUAGGCGGUCUGUCGCGUCGGGAGUGAAAACUCAGGGCUUAACCCUGAGCCUGCUUCCGAUACGGGCAGACUAGAGGUAUGCAGGGGAGAACGGAAUUCCUGGUGUAGCGGUGAAAUGCGCAGAUAUCAGGAGGAACACCGGUGGCGAAGGCGGUCCUCUGGGCAUUACCUGACGCUGAGGAGCGAAAGUGUGGGGAGCGAACAGG
rnacentral:rRNA from 1 species